rnacentral:misc_RNA from 1 species
ACUCCAGCUAUUCCAGGAAUGUUUCCUACCAUGUUCCCACUGGCAACCGGUCAGCCCUUUGGGGCCCUUCCUGUUAUGCCGGUUCAGGCAAUGACACAACAGGCUACUAGACAUGCACGGCGUGUUUAUGUGGGAGGGCUACCGCCAACAGCCAAUGAACAGUCUGUUGCCACAUUUUUCAGUCAGGUCAUGGCAGCAAUAGGAGGAAAUACUGCUGGCCCUGGAGAUGCGGUUGUGAAUGUAUACAUUAAUCAUGAG